rnacentral:rRNA from 1 species
GAUGAACGCUGGCGGCGUGCCUAAUACAUGCAAGUCGAGCGAACGGACGAGAAGCUUGCUUCCCUGAUGUUAGCGGCGGACGGGUGAGUAACACGUGGAUAACCUACUUAUAAGACUGGGAUAACUUCGGGAAACCGGAGCUAAUACCGGAUAAUAUUUUGUACCGCUUGGUUCAAAAGUGAAAGACGGUCUUGCUGUUACUAUUAGAUGGAUUCGCGCUGCAUUAGCUAGUUGGUAAGGUAACGGCUUACCAAGGAAACGAUGCAUAGCCGACCUGAGAGGAUGAUCGGCCACACUGGAACUGAGACACGGUCCAGACUCCUACGGGAGGCAGCAGUAGGGAAUCUUGCGCAAUGGGCGAAAGCCUGACGGAGCAACGCCGCGUGAGUGAUGAAGGUCUUCGGAUCGUAAAGCUCUGUUAUUAGGGAAGAACAUAUGUAUAAGUAACUGUGCACAUCUUGACGGUACCUAAUCAGAAAGCCACGGCUAACUACGUG